UACGGUGGGAGCAAGCGUUGUUCGGAUUUACUGGGCGUAAAGGGCGCGUAGGCGGCGCAACAAGUCACUUGUGAAAUCUCCGGGCUUAACUCGGAAAGGUCAAGUGAUACUGUUGUGCUAGAGUGCGGAAGGGGCAACUGGAAUUCUCGGUGUAGCGGUGAAAUGCGUAGAUAUCGAGAGGAACACCUGCGGCGAAGGCGGGUUGCUGGGCCGACACUGACGCUGAUGCGCGAAAGCCAGGGGAGCGAACGGG
rnacentral:rRNA from 1 species